ACUCGGUAGUGAAAUUCAUGCCAAAUUGCAAAUUUGGAGAUAUACUUUUAUUGGUGUCCGGGUUU
rnacentral:tRNA from 1 species